rnacentral:lncRNA from 1 species
GGCUGGGGUAUCAAUGAGUACAUCUUGUCCUAGAUGGAGGUGUUCUGUAGCAGCCCAGGGGCAGAGAGCUGACUCACCAGACAACAGACACAGUAGCAGUGACCAGCACAUGACUGCUCUCAGAGAGGAGACGGUAUUGGACUAUGCUUCUAAAUUAUGUACCACACUGCUGCAUUGAUUCAGGCCUUUGUUUGAAGAAUGUAUUGAGAUAUUGAGGGAAGCUGGCAUAUGAAGUGGAGAAGGAGGCAGAACUGGCCCUACAUGUGCACACACGAACACUGCCUUCUACUGAGAUUGCAAGGUGCCAUGGAAGUAUCCUGGGUCUUUGUAUGCAGCCUAGAAAGGAGGUCUUCGGGAUAUAAUUCAAUUUCAUGAUGCAAUUAAGAAAGAAGUCUAAACCAAAGGACACUUACCGCACUGCAGCAACAUGUG